rnacentral:rRNA from 1 species
GAUGAACGCUGGCGGCGUGCCUAAUACAUGCAAGUCGAGCGAACAGACGAGGAGCUUGCUCCUCUGACGUUAGCGGAGGACGGGUGUGUAACGCGUGGAUAACCUACCUAUAAGACUGGGAUCACUUCGGGAAACCGGCGCUAAUACCGGAUAAUCUAUUGAACCGCAUGGUUCAAUAGUGAAAGACGGUUUUGCUGUCACUUCUAGAUGGAUCCGCGCCGCAUUAGCUAGUUGGUAAGGUAACGGCCUACCAAGGCAACGAUGCGUAACCGACCUGAGGGGGUGAUAGGCCACACUGGAACGGAGACACGGUCCAGACGCCUACGGGAGGCAGCAGUAGGGAAUCUGCCGCAGUGGGCGAAAGCCUGACGGAGCAACGCCGAGUGAGUGAUGAAGGUCUUCGGAUCGGAAAACUCUGUUAUUAGGGAAGAACAAAUGUGUAAGUAACUAUGCACGUCUUGACGGUACCUAAUCAGAAAGCCACGGCUAACUACGUG